rnacentral:ncRNA from 2 species
CUAGAUCGCGCUGGGAGAGACCGGCUUCGUGCCGGCGCCGAAGGAGCAACCGCCCCGGAAACUCUCAGGCAAAAGGACCGCGCGAUCACU